CUUGCCGCGUGGCCCUAUACAUGCAAGUCGUACGCUUCUUUUUCCACCGGAGCUUGACUCCACCGGAAAAAGAGGAGUGGCGAACGGGUGAGUAACACGUGGGUAACCUGCCCAUCAGAAGGGGAUAACACUUGGAAACAGGUGCUAAUACCGUAUAACAAUCGAAACCGCAUGGUUUUGAUUUGAAAGGCGCUUUCGGGUGUCGCUGAUGGAUGGACCCGCGGUGCAUUAGCUAGUUGGUGAGGUAACGGCUCACCAAGGCCACGAUGCAUAGCCGACCUGAGAGGGUGAUCGGCCACAUUGGGACUGAGACACGGCCCAAACUCCUACGGGAGGCAGCAGUAGGGAAUCUUCGGCAAUGGACGAAAGUCUGACCGAGCAACGCCGCGUGAGUGAAGAAGGUUUUCGGAUCGUAAAACUCUGUUGUUAGAGAAGAACAAGGAUGAGAGUAACUGUUCAUCCCUUGACGGUAUCUAACCAGAAAGCCACGGCUAACUACGUGCCAGCAGCCGCGGUAAUACGUAGGUGGCAAGCGUUGUCCGGAUUUAUUGGGCGUAAAGCGAGCGCAGGCGGUUUCUUAAGUCUGAUGUGAAAGCCCCCGGCUCAACCGGGGAGGGUCAUUGGAAACUGGGAGACUUGAGUGCAGAAGAGGAGAGUGGAAUUCCAUGUGUAGCGGUGAAAUGCGUAGAUAUAUGGAGGAACACCAGUGGCGAAGGCGGCUCUCUGGUCUGUAACUGACGCUGAGGCUCGAAAGCGUGGGGAGCAAACAGGAUUAGAUACCCUGGUAGUCCACGCCGUAAACGAUGAGUGCUAAGUGUUGGAGGGUUUCCCGCCCUUCAGUGCUGCAGCUAACGCAUUAAAGCACUCCGCCCUGGGGAGUACGACCGCAAAGGUUGAAACCUCAAAGGAUUGACGGGGGCCCCGCCAACCAAAGCCGGGUUGGGGGAGCCAAUG
rnacentral:rRNA from 1 species